rnacentral:rRNA from 1 species
UACGGAGGGUGCGAGCGUUGUCCGGAAUCAUUGGGCGUAAAGGGCGCGUAGGUGGCGGGACAAGCGUGCGGUGAAAGCCUGGGCUCAACCCCGGGUCGGCCGUGCGAACUGUUUUGCUUGAGCACUGUAGAGGCAGGCGGAAUUCCGGGUGUAGCGGUGGAAUGCGUAGAGAUCCGGAAGAACACCGGUGGCGAAGGCGGCCUGCUGGGCAGUAGCUGACACUGAGGCGCGACAGCGUGGGGAGCAAACAGG